GCAGUCGUGGCCGAGUGGUUAAGGCGAUAGACUAGAAAUCCAUUGGGGUCUCCCCGCGCAGGUCCGAAUCCUGUCGACUGCG
rnacentral:tRNA from 2 species